rnacentral:rRNA from 1 species
AAAAUGACUCUCGGCAACGGAUAUCUAGGCUCUCGCAUCGAUGAAGAACGUAGCAAAAUGCGAUACUUGGUGUGAAUUGCAGAAUCCCGUGAACCAUCGAGUUUUUGAACGCAAGUUGCGCCCGAAGCCAUUAGGCCAAGGGCACGUCUGCCUGGGCGUCUC